rnacentral:lncRNA from 1 species
CUCCCUCCUCUCCUCACUUCAAAUCUCUCUCUUUUCUUCUUUUUCUCUCCUCUUCACGUGGGCAAGAGGGUAAUGUACCUUGGUAGAGACAACUGGUUAAGUUCGUGCUCCGAAGUGGAUCAAUCUGUCUGGAGUGCAGAUUGGUUGUUUCGAUCACACCGGGAACCACCUGAUUAGAUCAAUCCCCCGUGGGGAAGGACUUGACCUUCUAUUCACACCAGGUCUAGCCCCCAGGGAGUGAGUGUACACUAUUAUUACUCCGGAGAGGUGGUGUUUUAGGCCUUACAAUUGCCCAUAACUAUUUCUCUUGAGUAUCCUCGAUGUGAAAGUUAUCCGUGUUCAAGCUACCUCUCCCGCAGCGAUGCUCUAGUUUUAAUCCAUGUCGAGCUCUUUUAGAGACUUUGUCUCAUUUACAAUGCCCCAAGCAUACAGAGAAAUUUGUGGGCGGAGCGAGGCAUUUUUCUUGGAGCGAACUUUUUAAACGGGGUCUUGCCCCUGAAUACUUAGGGGGUGUAUUCAAUUGGGAUUUUAAAGGAUUUUAAUUCUUUUAAUGAAUCUAUGGGUAUUCAAUUGAGAUUUUAAAUAAUUCUCUGAAAUUCUAGGUGUAUUCAAUUAGAAUUUUAAGAUAGUUUAUUAAAAUCCUUAGAAAUCCAGGUGUAUUCAAUUAAAAUUUUAAAGAAGUUUAUAAUAUUCCAGGUGUAUUCAAUUAGAAAUUGAUUUUAAAGAAUUUGAGAAAGUUGAGGAAUUAGAGGGAAUUAGAGAGAUUUCGUAGUGUAUUUUAAGUAUCCACAAAUCUCACCUCUUCCCAUGAGAUUUCGAGGGAAUUGAAUCAAAAUUUAUAUAGAAUCUCUACAAAUCAAUUAAACUCCAUAAAAAUCCAUGGAUUUAUAAAUCCAUUAAAAUCUCUCACAUUCUCAAUUGAAUACACCCCCUUAAUGUUGGCUUGAAAUAUUUUAGUCGAAAGCAGCAGAUCAUGUAAUCCAAUGUACCCCCGCAUUGUAGAAUUUUCAAUAUUUUCUUCUUAUAAUAAAUUUGUCGGUUUUUCAUCCAAACUUGCAUGUCUAACCAAAUUUUCACAUUACUCUAUUCCUACAAAUUCCACAUAUUUCCUACAAGGAUUGUUGUGAAACCAAUAUGAAAUUAUAAAUAAGAACGUAAAUGGAUAAUUUAUAUACGAGGAUUAAUUUUUCAUAACUCUGAAUUAGUGUCAACCCUCUCCUUUCCCUCAAAUUAAUUAAUACCAAGAUUAUAUCCUAAUUACAAUUGAAACUUGAAGGAAAAUAGUGUAGUUGGCUUGGGAGAAAAGAAAUAGAGACUCGAGUUGAAAGGAAAUUAUUAAAUCCUAAUUACAUUUCACUAACACAUGUUCCAAAAGAGGAAAGUUUGCUUACGUACUUAAAGGG